rnacentral:tRNA from 1 species
CAAGAAGUAGUUUAAAUAAAAAUUCUAGUUUUGGGAAUUAGAGAUAAGAACACUAGUUUUCUUUUUGA